UCAAGAAAUUUACUGCAUCCCGCAAAUAA
rnacentral:sRNA from 1 species